UGACUCUCGGCAACGGAUAUCUUGGCUCUCGCAUCGAUGAAGAACGUAGCGAAAUGCGAUACUUGGUGUGAAUUGCAGAAUCCCGUGAACCAUCGAGUCUUUGAACGCAAGUUGCGCCUGAGGCUAUCUGGUCAAGGGCACGCCUGCCUGGGCGUCACGCCUAUCGACGCUCCCUGCC
rnacentral:rRNA from 1 species